rnacentral:rRNA from 1 species
CAAGUAAUUAAGUGCAUGUGGUGGAUGCCUUGGCAGUCAGAGGCGAUGAAAGACGUGAUAGCCUGCGAAAAGCUCCGGGGAGGCGGCAAAUAUCCUUUGAUCCGGAGAUGUCUGAAUGGGGGAACCCACCUACUUUAAGGUAGGUAUUGCAACAUGAAUACAUAGUGUUGCAAGGCGAACGAGGGGAAGUGAAACAUCUCAGUACCCUUAGGAAAAGAAAUCAAUUGAGAUUCCCUCAGUAGCGGCGAGCGAACGGGGAUCAGCCCAUUAAGUUAUGUGUGUUUUAGUGGAACGCUCUGGGAAGUGCGAACAUAGAGGGUGAUAUUCCCGUACACGAAAGGGCACACAUAAUGAUGACGAGUAGGGCGAGGCACGUGAAACCUUGUCUGAAUAUGGGGGGACCAUCCUCCAAGGCUAAAUACUCCUGACUGACCGAUAGUGAACCAGUACCGUGAGGGAAAGGCGAAAAGAACCCCUGUGAGGGGAGUGAAAUAGAUCCUGAAACCGCAUGCAUACAAGCAGUGGGAGCACCUUCGUGGUGUGACUGCGUACCUUUUGUAUAAUGGGUCAGCGACUUAUAUUCAGUAGCGAGGUUAACCGUAUAGGGGAGCCGUAGAGAAAUCGAGUCUUAAUAGGGCGUUUAGUUGCUGGGUAUAGACCCGAAACCAGGCGAUCUAUCCAUGAGCAGGUUGAAGGUUGGGUAACACUAACUGGAGGACCGAACCCACUGUCGUUGAAAAGCCAGGGGAUGACUUGUGGAUAGGGGUGAAAGGCUAAUCAAGCCUGGUGAUAGCUGGUUCUCCCCGAAAGCUAUUUAGGUAGCGCCUCGGACGAAUACCAUAGGGGGUAGAGCACUGUUUCGGCUAGGGGGUCAUCCCGACUUACCAAACCGAUGCAAACUCCGAAUACCUAUGAGUACUAUCCGGGAGACAGACUGCGGGUGCUAACGUCCGUAGUCAAGAGGAAAACAAUCCAGACCGCCAGCUAAGGCCCCAAAAUCAUAGUUAAGUGGGAAACGAUGUGGGAAGGCAUAGACAGCUAGGAGGUUGGCUUAGAAGCAGCCACCCUUUAAAGAAAGCGUAAUAGCUCACUAGUCGAGUCGGCCUGCGCGGAAGAUGUAACGGGGCUAAAACUAUGUGCCGAAGCUGCGGAUGUAUACUUUGUAUACGUGGUAGGGGAGCGUUCUGUAAGCCGAUGAAGGUGUGUUGAGAAGCAUGCUGGAGGUAUCAGAAGUGCGAAUGCUGACGUGAGUAACGACAAAACGGGUGAAAAACCCGUUCGCCGAAAGACCAAGGGUUCCAGUCCAACGUUAAUCGGGGCUGGGUGAGUCGACCCCUAAGGCGAGGCCGAAAGGCGUAGUCGAUGGGAAAAUGGUUAAUAUUCCAUUACUUCUGUGUAAUGCGAUGAGAGGACGGAGAAGGCUAAAUCAGCCUGGCGUUGGUUGUCCAGGUGAAAGGAUGUAGGCAUGUAUCUUAGGCAAAUCCGGGGUACUCUAUGCUGAGAUCUGAUAGCAAGCUGUACUUGUACAGCGAAGUGGUUGAUGCCAUGCUUCCAGGAAAAGUCUCUAAGCUUCAGUUACACAGGAAUCGUACCCGAAACCGACACAGGUGGUCAGGUCGAGUAGACCAAGGCGCUUGAGAGAACUCUGCUGAAGGAACUAGGCAAAAUGGUACCGUAACUUCGGGAGAAGGUACGCUGUUGUUGGUGAUGGAACUCGCUUCCUGAGCUGACGACAGCCGCAGAAACCAGGCCGCUGCAACUGUUUAUUAAAAACAUAGCACUCUGCAAACACGAAAGUGGACGUAUAGGGUGUGAUGCCUGCCCGGUGCUGGAAGGUUAAUUGAUGGGGUUAGCGUAAGCGAAGCUCUUGAUCGAAGCCCCAGUAAACGGCGGCCGUAACUAUAACGGUCCUAAGGUAGCGAAAUUCCUUGUCGGGUAAGUUCCGACCUGCACGAAUGGCAUAAUGAUGGCGGCGCUGUCUCCAGCAGAGGCUCAGUGAAAUCGAAAUCGCUGUGAAGAUGCAGUGUACCCGCGGCUAGACGGAAAGACCCCGUGAACCUUUACUGCAGCUUGACACUGAACUUUGACCUUACUUGUGUAGGAUAGGUGGGAGGCUUUGAAGCUGGAACGCUAGUUCCAGUGGAGCCGUCCUUGAAAUACCACCCUGGUAAUGUUGAGGUUCUAACUCUGUCCCGUGAUCCGGGACGAGGACCGUGUCUGGUGGGUAGUUUGACUGGGGCGGUCUCCUCCUAAAGAGUAACGGAGGAGUACGAAGGUGCGCUCAGCGUGGUCGGAAAUCACGCGUAGAGUAUAAAGGCAAAAGCGCGCUUAACUGCGAGACCCACAAGUCGAGCAGGUACGAAAGUAGGUCUUAGUGAUCCGGUGGUUCUGUAUGGAAGGGCCAUCGCUCAACGGAUAAAAGGUACUCUGGGGAUAACAGGCUGAUACCGCCCAAGAGUUCAUAUCGACGGCGGUGUUUGGCACCUCGAUGUCGGCUCAUCUCAUCCUGGGGCUGAAGCAGGUCCCAAGGGUAUGGCUGUUCGCCAUUUAAAGAGGUACGCGAGCUGGGUUUAGAACGUCGUGAGACAGUUCGGUCCCUAUCUACCGUGGGCGCUGGAAAUUUGAGAGGAUCUGCUCCUAGUACGAGAGGACCAGAGUGGACGAACCUCUGGUGUACCGGUUGUGACGCCAGUCGCAUCGCCGGGUAGCUAUGUUCGGAAGGGAUAACCGCUGAAAGCAUCUAAGCGGGAAGCCUACCUCAAGAUAAGAUUUCCCUAGGACUUUAUGUCCUCUAAAGAGCCGUUCGAGACUAGGACGUUGAUAGGUUGGAUGUGGAAGCAUAGUGAUAUGUGAAGCUGACCAAUACUAAUUGCUCGUGAGGCUUGACUA